CCAGGUCUGGGAGGGACACAGCUGUGUGCCAGCUGGGGGACAGGGGUGACCCCACACGGGGAAGCCGACUUAGCAAACUUACUCCAAAGCACGUUGCUUUGUGUUGUUAUUGUUGCUAAGCCCCAGUGACGAUUCUGAAAUCGAAUAUAAACUGUUUGUAUCAGGAAAGCCCCAAGGCGAGAACGUGUGUCACAGUGUUUAUGAGGCAGCUGAUAAAAGGCCCUCCACAGAGGGAAGGGGCUCUGUGGGGCACCCUGCUCCGUCCCAGCAGCCUCUGCCCGGAGGAGCAGUGCUGCUUGCCCUCAGCUCUGGUUUCCCCAGUGGGCAGAGCCGGCUCCCGACCCCAACCCCCUGGACCUGCUGUCGGCCACCUGCCGGUGUCCCUCAAACCUUUAGAGGGGAAGAGUGGGGCACCGGGGGCUCGGCCAUGGCCUCCGGCGGUCUCACCCCCUUCUCCUAAGGCUGGCGCUGUACUGGGGACCUUGGACGCAGGCAUCCACAGCAGAUUCCUGAGACACCACCCCACCUCGAGGCACAGAUCGGAUGAGAAGAGUUUUGCAGAAAUGACCUUUCCGAGGCAACCCUUUACUUGGUAAUUAGUAUGACAGAUGAGCUGUCAGCCAGAGACCCAUUUAAGGACAUUCCCAGAACUCCUGGCCUCCCUGGGGGAGCCCCAUGAGGACCAAGGAGCAGGGACAUCAGGACCCCCAAGGCUCAAAGAAAGAGGCCCCCAGAGGGGAACCACACUCGCUGUGUCUCACGCACUCGGAAGGCGAGCAGCUCUGUGCACCGUGGAUGGAACCAGAGCACAACGUGAAGGACUGGGUGUGACAAGCAGCUAUUUCAAGCCUGGACAGGUAUUCCUGGAAACAAUCAGUGGUUAAACGAAGUACAUGGAGCUGUUUCUGUGGAGCUCGUGUCUUUUCGAGGGAAAGUCAGCUCCCCAAAGAGGGAACGGCGUCACCACCACCUCUCACGAGAACGCCUGACACACUGCAGUCUCGAUGCCUCCAGCCACCAGCCACCACCUCGCACGCAGAGCCACUGCAGCCCACAGUGCCCACGACAGGGUGCAGGUGCCAAAGGCUGAUGUCUCAUGCUGGGCAGCAGGAGGGCAGGGGUUUGCACCCCACCUGUGGGGCCUCAAUGUCCACACACAAGACCCUCAGAUCCACCUCAAGCAGGCUUCGUGUGCCAAAGGCUGAAAGUUGCUUACAAAAGAGAGUCCCAAGCUACCUGCUGGCCACAGCUCGGACUCUUAAGUUGAUGUUACCGCAACUGAAAAGGGAGCGUGCACCUGAACAGUUCGUUUACUUCCAUGUAGGUCACAUACAAAAUAAAAAGUGUAUCCAAGGUCCUGCCUGGGGCUGGGUGGAGCUCAGCAUGUGUCAGGCACUGGACUCCGACCUGCCCGGCCCUCCUACCCCAACAGGUCCAGCCAGGGAGGUUCUGGUAAGUGCCAACUUCUCUGUGGAGCAGACUCUGGACAUGGCACACAACAGCGAUCACAGUGGCUGCUGCAGAUGCCUUUGGGGUUUUUCUGCUCUGUUUUCUCUCUAGUUCUUUCCGACCCAUUGCAAGAGAAAAAUGUGUGGAGAUCUUGGCGCUAUUCUGUUUAUGUUGCUAAGUUACUGAGUAUUUUGCCUCACCCUAGCCAGAAAACCAUGUUAAUGGUCUUUAAAGAGAUAAGCUACAUUCUGGAACAUCGCAGCAUAAGUGCCCGCAAUGGGCUCGGAGGUUCUGUGAAAUAGUCUCCCUUCCCUUAGGUAGUUUGCAGUGAAGCCUUAUUUGGGGAUUGAGUAGGUGCUGAUCUGAAAUGGAAACCUCCUAUGUUUGCCCCAAGCCCUGUGCAUCACACUCAGUGCACACAGGCACACACAUGCACUCGAGAGGCUGUUCAGAGGAAAGAGCACGGGCAGCCUGAGCCAGACGGGCUGGAAAAGGGCAGGGAGCUGGCACCACGCCAGCCAGCCCUCUGUGACCCUCAAGGUGCAUAGAGUCCCGGGCCGUGUUUUGCUGUGCUCAGAUACCUUUUCAAACAAUAUUGUGAGAUAACCUUUAAUUUAUUUUUUAAUAUGCUGAAUUGAAACACUAACAGGUGAAAUGCAAUUGUAAGUAACAGAAAGCAAAUUAAACUUGUAGUCAAAGUGACUGCUUUCUUUCUUUGCUGUAAUAAAAAUGGAAAUCAG
ensembl:lncRNA